UUUACCUACGGGACGCAGCAGUGGGGAAUAUUGCACAAUGGGGGAAACCCUGAUGCAGCGACGCCGCGUGAGUGAAGAAGUAUUUCGGUAUGUAAAGCUCUGUCAGCAGGGAAGAAAGCAAUGACGGUACCUGACCAAGAAGCCCCGGCUAACUACGUGCCAGCAGCCGCGGUAAUACGUAGGGGGCAAGCGUUAUCCGGAAUUACUGGGUGUAAAGGGAGCGUAGACGGCUGUGCAAGUCUGGCGUGAAAGGCGGGGGCCCAACCCCCGGACUGCUCUGGAAACUGUAUGGCUGGAGUGCAGGG
rnacentral:rRNA from 1 species